rnacentral:lncRNA from 1 species
CCAUUGAUGGACUUGAAACUCUACUGGAGAACAUUGCUGCAGCCUUUGUAGAGCAGCUCUGCUGCUGUUUCUUUUCAGCCAGCCUUGGAAGAGCUAUUCUGUAAAGCGAUGUGGCUGUGGCAGCCAAGACCUACCCCAGAAGCGUGAGGAUUGACAUUGCUGCAGCAAUUAAAACAAUCAUCACAUCUUGACGCAGUCCUGUUGUAAAUCACAGCUGCACCCAAGAUUCUCCUGGCAGAACCACAGCAAAGUCUAAGUUUUGGUUGUAAAGGAGGGACUCCAUUAAACCAACUCGUGCAGUGAGUUACCAGUUAUGCAUUCAGGAUGCACCCUGCUACUUCUGGCUUCUGCUCCCCAGCCACUUGCUGCAGACCCACGUGCUCCAGCCAUGAGUUGUACAAAUCCCACCUCUCCCUGCAGCACCAUCUCUCCCCUGAUCCAACUUCCCUCAGGAGCAGGGGCUGUUUUAGCCUCUCUGCAUGGUGUGAACACGGAGGUGACGUUUGGGGAGGCAUCUCAGAACAGACUGCAGAAUAUCCCCGUUCUCACAGAGGACUUCUCAGAAGGAACCAAGAUGCUACAUGAAGGUUUUGGGAGGUCCCUUCCCAGUCACCAGACCAGUAACAUCAGAAGGAAACCAACGCUGGAGGUACCAGUGGUGGCAUCACCGUCCCUGGGGGUGUUCAAGGAAAGGUUGGACAUGGUGCUUAGGGACUUGGUUCAGUGGGUGACAUUGGUGGUAGGGGGAUGGUUGGACCAGAUGAGCUUGGAGGGCUUCUCCAACCCUAACGAUUCUAUAAACUCUAACAGGAUGAGGAAAGAAGAGCAGACAAAUACACCAUGGUGCUUUCUUGUCAUCAUAAAUAUCUUUAUUGUGAAAAAUACCAUAAAAUAAUUCCCGCAGUUCUAGAAAAAACAGUUCUUGCUUUUUAGACUUACGAUUUAUAUAAAGACAUUUUAAUAAUUUGAGACAUUUGAUAAAUUUCUGGCUAACUUGACUUAUCCUUCUUACAACACAGAACUGCUACUUUGAAUUUUGCAGUGGGCAAAAAAAGAUUCUCACAUUUUUAACUUUAUGGAUAAAAUUAUGCAUUACAGAGCAAACAAACAAUACCUUACAAUAAGGCACUUUUAAAUACAACUAACCUGCUAUGCUGUACUGGCUGAUGUCCAGCAAAGCUCCUACAAAUCACAGCCCUAAACAGAAGAAUAAUUCUUAUUCCAAACACUGGUCUGGAAACUGAAAUAAUAACAAGCUUUUAUGUUGAAAAUUAUUUUUAAGCUAACAGNNNNNNNNNNNNNNNNNNNNGUCCCCAUCCCUGGGGGUGUUCAAGGAAAGGUUGGACGUGGUGCUUGAGGACAUGGUUCAGUGGGUGACAUUGGUGGUAGGGGGAUGGCUGGACCAGGUGAGCUUGGAGGGCUUCUCCAACCUUAACGAUUCUAUAAACUCUAACAGGAUGAGGAAAGAAGAGCAGACAAAUACACCAUGGUGCUUUCUUGUCAUCAUAAAUAUCUUUAUUGUGAAAAAUACCAUAAAAUAAUUCCCGCAGUUCUAGAAAAAACAGUUCUUGCUUUUUAGACUUACGAUUUAUAUAAAGACAUUUUAAUAAUUUGAGACAUUUGAUAAAUUUCUGGCUAACUUGACUUAUCCUUCUUACAACACAGAACUGCUACUUUGAAUUUUGCAGUGGGCAAAAAAAGAUUCUCACAUUUUUAACUUUAUGGAUAAAAUUAUGCAUUACAGAGCAAACAAACAAUACCUUACAAUAAGGCACUUUUAAAUACAACUAACCUGCUAUGCUGUACUGGCUGAUGUCCAGCAAAGCUCCUACAAAUCACAGCCCUAAACAGAAGAAUAAUUCUUAUUCCAAACACUGGUCUGGAAACUGAAAUAA